GAUGAACGCUGGCGGCGUGCCUAAUACAUGCAAGUCGAGCGAACCACUUCGGUGGUGAGCGGCGAACGGGUGAGUAACACGUAGGUGAUCUGCCCAUCAGACGGGGACAACGAUUGGAAACGAUCGCUAAUACCGGAUAGGACGAAAGUUUAAAGGUGCUUCUGGCACCGCUGAUGGAUGAGACUGCGGCGCAUUAGCUCGUUGGUAGGGUAAAGGCCUACCAAGGCGACGAUGCGUAGCCGACCUGAGAGGGUGAACGGCCACACUGGGACUGAGACACGGCCCAGACUCCUACGGGAGGCAGCAGUAGGGAAUCUUCGGCAAUGGGCGAAAGCCUGACCGAGCAACGCCGCGUGAAUGAUGAAGGCCUUCGGGUUGUAAAAUUCUGUUAUAAGGGAAGAACGACUUUAGUAGGAAAUGGCUAGAGUAUGACGGUACCUUAUGAGAAAGCCACGGCUAACUACGUGCCAGCCGCCGCAGUAACAC
rnacentral:rRNA from 1 species